GAUGAAGAACGUAGCGAAAUGCGAUAAGUAAUGUGAAUUGCAGAAUUCAGUGAAUCAUCGAAUCUUUGAACGCACAUUGCGCCCUCUGGUAUUCCGGGGGGCAUGCCUGUCCGAGCGUCAUUUCUGCCCUCCAGCCCGGCUGGGUGUUGGGCGCUGUCCCCCCGGGGACACGCCCCAAAGGCAGUGGCGGCGCCGCGUCGGGUCCUCGAGCGUAUGGGGCUUUGUCACCCGCUCGGGACGGACUCGUCGGCGCUGGUCUUCCUCCAGGCGACCCUUCGGGGCUCGUCUUCCUUCGGUUGACCUCGGAUCAGGUAGGGUUACCCGCUGAACUUAAGCAUAUCAAUAAGCGGAGGA
rnacentral:misc_RNA from 1 species